UACGUAGGGUGCAAGCGUUAAUCGGAAUUACUGGGCGUAAAGCGUGCGCAGGCGGUUAUGUAAGACAGUUGUGAAAUCCCCGGGCUCAACCUGGGAACUGCAUCUGAGACUGCAUAGCUAGAGUACGGUAGAGGGGGAUGGAAUUCCCCGUGUAGCAGUGAAAUGCGUAGAUAUGCGGAGGAACACCGAUGGCGAAGGCAAUCCCCUGGACCUGUACUGACGCUCAGGCACGAAAGCGUGGGGAGCAAACGGG
rnacentral:rRNA from 1 species